AAUGAGCUUAUGCGCCAAUCACAUUGUUUCAGAAAACCACAAGCAUAAUGAACAAAAUCACCAGAUUUUCCGAAGAAGUCAACAACUCUGUUGACAACUAAGUCAUUGCGAACAAUGCCUGAAGUAACUAACUGUGCAUGGAUAGUUUUGAAAGAUUUCAAGUUGUUGCAUGUAGGAAUGCAAUCCAAAAGAACCGAUUUCAAAUGAUAUGGCCUAAUCUUGAUCAUAUUAGUUGCACUUGCACUAUUCCCAUUCUCAGAAAAGAGCUCUGCCGGUUGUUUGAUAUAUACAUGGACAUAAAUACACCUUAGAAGCCCUUCUACAAAGUCGCAAUUGCUAAAGGCAAAGCUCCAUGAUUUCAUGAAACAGAGGGAUUUAAACGAUCAAGGGAAGAGAAACAGUGAAUUAGAAUUAGCAGAUUAUGAGAGAAUGUGAGGAAGUGUAGUUUUUUCUCAAGCUUCAUAACAACGCAAAUUUUCCAAAUGUGAGGUCUGAAGAGUGAGGAGGGUCGUCUGGUCCAGUUCAUAUGAAGGGACGGAGAUAAGUACACCGGCGAC
rnacentral:misc_RNA from 1 species